AGAAGCGAAGCAGAGGGUGACGUCAAGCAGCUGACCUUGGGUCUGGAUAUGUUUACUGCUCUGUAAAGUGUCUGUCCUGGCCAAUGGUGAUGCAGCCCAUGUGUCUGGAAAAUGCUGCUGCAUUUGUGAGGGGCCACACCGACAUGCCAAUUUCCCAGAUUUCUGUCUGGAGUUGUCAACAUUUGAGCAGUUGAGGACCAGCACGGCUGGAUCCCUGAACAACAGCAACAGUCACAUGAAGGCCUCAGCGUGAAUAGGACCGGCCCAUGACCCAGAGCGAGACUGUAACUCAGAUACAAUGACCUCAUGAAGCACAGGGGAGAAAGCUUGUUCUGAAGCAAAGGAAACCACUUGCAGCACUAAGGAGAAACUGUUAAGAGUGGAUCAUCUGUAAAUAGCUAUAAAUGCUUAAAAAAAUGGAGGUAUAUAAAUGACACACUGGUUGCUUGGCGAUGAAACUUUCAUCAUCCUUACAAUGACAGUGUUGAAAAUGUGUAAUUUAUGGGAUUUAAGAAAAACUGCCAAUUAACAGACAUUAAAGGAAUCAUUUGACA